rnacentral:rRNA from 1 species
GUGGGGAAUAUUGGACAAUGGGCGCAAGCCUGAUCCAGCCAUGCCGCGUGUGUGAAGAAGGCCUUCGGGUUGUAAAGCACUUUUGUCCGGGAAGAAAACCCUGGGGCUAAUACCCACGGGGAAUGACGGUACCGGAAGAAUAAGCACCGGCUAACUUCGUGCCAGCAGCCGCGGUAAUACGAAGGGUGCAAGCGUUACUCGGAAUUACUGGGCGUAAAGCGUGCGUAGGCGGUUUGUUAAGUCAGAUGUGAAAGCCCCGGGCUCAACCUGGGAACUGCAUUUGAUGCUGGCGAGCUAGAGUACGGUAGAGGGUGGUGGAAUUCCCGGUGUAGCGGUGAAAUGCGUAGAGAUCGGGAGGAACAUCUGUGGCGAAGGCGGCCACCUGGACCAGUACUGACGCUGAGGCACGAAAGCGUGGGGAGCAAACAGGAUUAGAUACCCCUGUAGUCC